rnacentral:rRNA from 1 species
AACGAACGCUGGCGGCAGGCUUAACACAUGCAAGUCGAACGCCCCGCAAGGGGAGUGGCAGACGGGUGAGUAACGCGUGGGAACAUACCCUUUUCUACGGAAUAGCUCUGGGAAACUGGAAUUAAUACCGUAUACGCCCUACGGGGGAAAGAUUUAUCGGGGAAGGAUUGGCCCGCGUUGGAUUAGCUAGUUGGUGGGGUAAAGGCCUACCAAGGCGACGAUCCAUAGCUGGUCUGAGAGGAUGAUCAGCCACAUUGGGACUGAGACACGGCCCAAACUCCUACGGGAGGCAGCAGUGGGGAAUAUUGGACAAUGGGCGCAAGCCUGAUCCAGCCAUGCCGCGUGAGUGAUGAAGACCUUAGGGUUGUAAAGCUCUUUCACCGAUGAAGAUAAUGACGGUAGUCGGAGAAGAAGCCCCGGCUAACUUCGUG